rnacentral:rRNA from 1 species
UACGUAGGGGGCUAGCGUUGUCCGGAUUUAUUGGGCGUAAAGAGCGUGUAGGCGGCCAGGUAGGUCUGGUGUGAAAACUCGAGGCUUAACCUUGAGAUGUCAUCGGAAACCAUUUGGCUAGAGUCCGGAAGAGGAAAGUGGAAUUCCUGGUGUAGCGGUGAAAUGCGCAGAUAUCAGGAAGAACACCAAUGGCGAAGGCGACUACCUGGCCUGUUCUUGACGCUGAGGCGCGAAAGCUAGGGGAGCAAACGGG